CCUAACCCUCAAUCACUCACUGGAAGCAAUUCGUGAAAGCCAGCACCACUGCCCCACGCACAAACGUAACACUCCACCGUUCCUUUUCUUCUCUCAGAUCGACAAACUCUUGGCUGUCGUCUCCAUCCCUUUCCGUCAGCGAAGCUGUCUGCGUCCUCUCCAUCCCUCACCGUCAACGAACCCUUGUGUCGUCCUUUCAAACCCUCUCGCAAACCUUCCUUGUGCCGUCGAUCGUGGACGAGUUUUGAAGGCAAUGGAAGGUGUUAUGUUCUCUUUCUCUCUCCUUGGGCGACGACUGAUGAGGUUCGGAGUCAACCGAUCUUCACCGCUCACCGGAGGUUAUGGCUGUUCUGGUCGAGGUUAGGAAGUACAAGUAACUUCUUUAUCCCUUUCAGUGUUAUUAUACUUGGUCAAUUUGGUCUUAGCUGAUGUUGGAACAUGGUAAAGUAGUUAGAAAAUUGAAUUUAGGUUUCUCUACCGCUACAAUUCAUUUAUUAUUAGAUUGCAAUGCUUAGUUUUGUUAAGCUUCGACCGCUCAAAAACUUCUUUUUGGGGAGAGUUGUAGUUGUUGGGAGAGAUUCAACAAGGACUUCUCAAAGUCUGAAGAUUUUGUCAUUUAAUCAGAAUAUCACUAAUGCCAUCUAUGUUAGUCCUAAUAUUAACAACAUCAUGUGGUUGAACUUUAAAUUAAUAUUGAUGUUGAUCUUUGAGUUAAUAUUUACUCUUACAGAAUAUGAUAUAUCGGGUCACAUAGUGGGUGAACGAGAAUAUUGCCCCUCUAGUGACAUCUAUAUGAAUUGAAGUUCCAAUUCAGUUAUAUAUCCUCAGUGUAUUUGAAAAUUAUUAAAUGUUUGAUACAUAUGACUUUCUUUUCUAACUAUACAUUUUAAAGAGGGGAAAUUUGUUGUACUAUAUUUCAAUAAAUAAAAGUAUGACUUAAUAGAAAAGUAUGACCACUAUUUAAUUUACUGCAUGCUCUUUACUUAUUUCUUAUGUUCUAGAAAACAGCCACAAGUGUUUGGGGUCUAGCAGCACGUUGGCUAGCAGAUUAGGAAAUCAUACCUUUUGAUUAUGUAUCAUAUGCUAAGAAGCUCUAGAUGUGCCCACCUUAGAUGCAGAUUUAAUCAAAUAAUUGUAGUUUUAUACAAAAUCUAUUCUCACUGAGACCAUGAAAUUCUUACUACACAAAAUAUCUCAAUAGCAGCUUAGCAUUGAGGUACUGGAAACUUAGAUUUCAAACAAGCAGCAUUCAUGAUAUAGAACCAGAGAAAAGGUAUGUAAUAAUUCUUAAAUAACUUUUUGGCAAGGAUGAGAAAUGCAAAACAGUGAAAUAUGAUUUUUCAGGAAUUAGAAGCAAGUAAAGGAUUGACAACAAGGAAUGAGGACCAUUUGUAAGUGAGAGAGCUGAAUGAUGGCUGAGUAUGCAUUCACUGACAGAACUGGCCUCUUUGGAAUGUCAUGGUAUAAGCAUCUGAUACCGGAGAGCUGACCUUUAAUAUGUUUUGACAACUUAGUGUGGGGAGCUUCUUUGUAGCUUGCCAUGCCUACAUCAGAUUUAUCAGACUAUACUGGUUUGUUGCAAUUGAAGCUGGAAUGACUCCAAAUAUUUUCUAUUGUCUCAAGAUUUUGAAGCCUCCGCAUAUCCACUUUUCCUAGCUUAGGAUUUGGACAUAAAGAAGGGCAUAUACUUAUCCAUUUGUUUUUGCAAUUUUAACCCAUGUUCAAAAUUUUAUCCUAUUUUCUAUGUUAUUUUAUAGAGUAACCCCCCAGAUACUUGUUGGUAUGACUUGUUAUAGAAUGAUAUGUGAUUUAAGUAGGCUAAAUAAUUAUUUGGCCUUCUUCCUGAACAUGUUAAGUUCUUCAGAAUGUCCUUUAUUUGAGUUCAUGAUUUACUUUUGAUU